UGCCCCGAUCUGAGCAUCUUCCUCCGCCACUCCCGCACCUGUCCCUAGCUUCUUUCUUCGCCUCUUCCCCGCCCGCCCCGAGCUUAUUCCUCCGCCACUCCCCCGCGCGCGCCCAGAUUUUCUUCGCUCGUCUGCUUCGUCAUGCCCAUCAAUGGCGGCGGAAGUUAAUGUUCUGGACAAUCUCCCACUAUGCAAACCUAGCAUGCAAUCUAGGUUUUCAACACUCAGAUACAUGAAAGUAGUGGACAAGUUCAAUCCAAUUUCAAAGGGUUUUUUAUAUCCAAGCAUGGUCUUGAUAAUCUACUGAGGCUUCCUGUCCACUUGAUGGUCCCUCUGCAUCUUCAGCAGUGGCUUGUUGACCAUGCAUCAUAUGGUGAAACAAAAUUCUUCCAACAAAAAGACAAGGUUAUCCAUUUCAACAAGGAUAUUGCCGACAAGUUUGUUGGGUUUCCAGUGGGCGCCAAGCCAUUUAUUACAUAGAGCAAUGAUCCUGAUAUCAUGAGAGAGGUAGAAGAUAUUCGCGGUCAGUACCUCCAAGGGAAGAAGCAGAUAACGAAUAAGAAUCUUGAGUCUGUUUUGCUUGGCGCUAACAAUGAGGUGGUUUUCAUUAGGAGUUUCUUGUUGCUUUUCAUCACCACUGUUCUGUGUCCAUCGACCUACAAUUUUGUCAAUGCAAAAUAUUUGUAUUCUUUGAGGGACAGCGACAUUGAGGAAGUUGGAACACUUGACUUUGCAACUUUGUGCCUAAACAACCUGUGGAGUGAGUUGGAUGCAUGGAAAGACAAGGUGUAGAGAAUACUGGGUUAUGAACAUUUCUCCUUCCUUUGUAUUCGCAAUUCCGUAGAAAUUGGAAACUAAAGAUUGGAGUACAUGGUCUGGUUAUGUUUGGUGUCCUGCCAUGUAUACUUUUUUGUGCUUAAAAGCAUGGCUUAUAUAUGUUUUCCCAGGUUCUUUUUGGCCUGAAAUCCUAUCUGUUUUACCAUGUACAUAAGUCGUGAAGAAAUUCAAUAGCCACGAGUUCAGGCCAAGGCAAAUUCGGUAUUUGGGUAUUAUAUCACGUGACAGUAGUAUAAAUAUUGCCUGGAUGUGAAUCGAACCAAACUCGCAUCACGGUUCUUUUUUGUAGCUGCGAUUUUUGUCUUUUUAUGUUCUAACAUCUGUUUUAAGAAAAAAUAUUUCUUAAACUAGAUAUUAUUAUGCAUUAGUAAAUACUUAGAUGAAGAAAAAAUCUAUAUACCAGGGACAAAAAAAGCUGAGGCACCAAAAACUUAAAAAUUAGGAAUUCUACAAUUCGAAUCUUUUAUCGUAUUGGGAUUUUUUUGGGGGUUCUUGAUUAAACCAAUUUUGAGAAUAGUUGGAUGCCGACAAAAUCAUCAAAGAUUGGAAUUCUUUUUUUCAAUUCAACAAGGUGUCAAUAACUUCUAGAUGUUGGCUAAGUGAUUUAAUCUUCGCCUUAAGAUAGUUAUGGUCAUGCUUUCUUGAAACCCGUUCAUGCAAAGAAUAAUUUUGUGUUUUAUUUUGUAUGUUUCAAGUUUAGAAAAUAACUUAAUGUUUUUAUUUAUGUUCAAGGUAGAAAAUGGUUCAUACCAAAAAUCCAUUUCAUUCUUUAUUUUUAUUGUUCAAGGUAGGAAACCGUUCAUUCCAAGAAUUCGUUCAUGCUUUACUUUUAAUUUCCAACAAUCCGUUCAUGCAUGAAUUUAUGUUCAAUGUAGGAACUCGUCCAUGCUUUAUUGUAUGUUCAAGGUAGAAAAUCAUUCAUGCAAAAGAAUCCGACCAUGCUUGAAUUUAUGUUCAAUGUAGGAAAGCGUUCAUGCAAGAAAUAUGGGAACAAGGGUUUUUCGAUAUAUGUCUAAUGAAGAAAACCAUUAAUGCCAAGAAUUCGUUCAUACUUUUUAUUUAUGUUUCUGCGUACAAAACAGUUCACGCCGAAGAAAUACUCAUCUUUUUUAUUUAUGUUCAAGGAAGGAAACGGUUCACUCUAAGAUUCCGUUUUAUGUUAUCAUUUCUGUUAAAGGUAGGAAACCGUUCAUGCCAAGAAUCCAUUAAUGUUUUAUUUUUUAUAGUUCAAGGUACGAAACCGUUCAUGAUUA